rnacentral:rRNA from 1 species
GACGAACGCUGGCGGCGUGCUUAACACAUGCAAGUCGAACGGCAAGGCCCUGCUAUUGUGGGGUGCUCGAGUGGCGAACGGGUGCGUAACACGUGAGUAACCUGCCCUAGACUUUGGGAUAACUUCACGAAACUGGGGCUACUACCGGAUAGGAGAUCCUGCAGCAUGGUGGGGGUUGGAAAGUUUCGGCGGUCGGGGAUGGAUUCGCGGCUUAUCAGCUUGUUGGUGGGGUAGUUGCUUACCAAGGCUUUGAAGGGUAGGCGGCCCGGGAGCGUGACCGGCCUCCUGGGGCCUAAGGUACGGCCCAGAGUCCUACGGUAGGCAGCAGUGGCGAGUAUUGCACAAUGGGCGCGAGCCUGAUGAGGCAACGCCGCGGUCGUGAAGACGGCUUUCUGGUUGAAAACCGCAUUCGCCUGUGACGAAGCGUGAGUGACGGUAAUGAGUGAAGAAGCACCGGCUAACUACGUG